UCCAGAGGUUGUGAGGGUGAAACCCAAAUUCCAGAGGUUGGGAACGUGAAACACCAAAAUUCCAGAGGUUGGGAGGGUGAAACACCAAAAUUCCAGAGGUUGGGAACGUGAAACACCAAAAUUCCUGAGGCUGGGAAGGGUCCCUGGUGCUGAGGGAAUAAAAGAGACAAAGAGGGAAAAGUGGAGACUCCCACAAGCUGAAACCACAGAGGAGGGGAAGGAAAGACACAAAAAUCCUGCAAAACCCUGGGAUUGGGGGUUGGAAUUCCUGGAAAAAAACUGAAUUUAGGAGACUUCACCCUCCUGCGCCCAGCAAACAGCACCAGGAAAAUUUCCUUUAUCCUAGGGGGGGAAAAAAAAAAAAAAAAAAAAAAAAAAGAGAAGAAGCAGCAGGCCCCUUAAAAACCUCUUUAAUCGUUUCCAAAGUUUAUUUCUGGGUGAUUUGACGAAAGACACGAGUUAGUAAUGGUUACAUCAUGCUGCUCCUCCGCCCGUGCAACUCAGCCAGCAGCUCCCCAAGUCAGGAAUUCACCCUCUCCGUGGACAGCUCGGGGGUUUGCAAUUAAAAAAAAAAAAAAAAAAAAA